rnacentral:rRNA from 1 species
ACGGAUGGUGCGAGCGUUGUUCGGAAUUACUGGGCGUAAAGGGCGCGUAGGCGGCCCUGUAAGUCAGAUGUGAAAGCCCACGGCUCAACCGUGGAAGUGCAUCUGAAACUGCAGAGCUUGAGUAUCGGAGAGGAAAGUGGAAUUCCCGGUGUAGAGGUGAAAUUCGUAGAUAUCGGGAGGAAUACCGGUGGCGAAGGCGACUUUCUGGACGAAUACUGACGCUGAGGCGCGAAAGCGUGGGGAGCAAACAGG